AGGGUUUGACCCCGGCUCAGAAUCAACGCUGGCGGCGCGCUUAGCACAUGCAAGUCGAGCGAGAAAGGGGAGCAAUCCCUGAGUAAAGUGGCGUACGGGUGAGUAACACGUGGAUUAUCUACCUUUUAGUGGGGAACACCGUUGGGAAACCGACGACAAUACCGCAUAAUCCCGAGAGGGGAAAGCAGCAAUGCGCUGAAAGAGGAGUCCGCGGUCGAUUAGCUAGUUGGUAGGGUAAAAGCCUACCAAGGCUGAUCGAUAGCCGGCCUGAGAGGGCACACGGCCACACUGGCACUGAAACACGGGCCAGACUCCUACGGGAGGCAGCAGUGGGGAAUCUUGCACAAUGGGGGAAACCCUGAUGCAGCGACGCCGCGUGAGCGAUGAAGCCCUUCGGGGUGUAAAGCUCUUUCGGCAGGGACGAUAAUGACGGUACCUGCAGAAGCAGCUGCGGCUAACUACGUGCCAGCAGCCGCGGUAAUACGUAGGCAGCAAGCGUUGUUCGGAGUUACUGGGCGUAAAGGGUGCGUAGGCGGUCCUAUAAGUAUGGUGUGAAAUCUCCCGGCUUAACUGGGAGGGUGCGCUAUAGACUGUGGGACUAGAGUGUGGGAGAGGAAAGUGGAAUUCCAGGUGUAGCGGUGAAAUGCGUAGAUAUCAGGAGGAACACCGGCGGUGUAAACGGCUUUCUGGACCAUAACUGACGCUGAGGCACGAAAGCGUGGGUAGCAAACAGGAUUAGAUACCCUGGUAGUCCACGCCUUAAACGAUGAGAGCUAGUUGUCAGUAAGCAUGCUUAUUGGUGACGCAGCUAACGCAUUAAGCUCUCCGCCUGGGGAGUACGGCCGCAAGGUUAAAACUCAAAGAAAUUGACGGGGGCCCGCACAAGCGGUGGAGCAUGUGGUUUAAUUCGAAGCAACGCGCAGAACCUUACCCACCUUUGACAUCCCGUGCUAUCUAGAGAGAUCUAGAGUCCCUUCGGGGCGCGGAGACAGGUGCUGCAUGGCUGUCGUCAGCUCGUGUCGUGAGAUGUUGGGUUAAGUCCCGCAACGAGCGCAACCCUCGCUUCUAGUUGCCAGCAUUUAGUUGGGCACUCUAGAGGAACUGCCUGCGCCAAGCAGGAGGAAGGCGGGGAUGACGUCAAGUCCUCAUGGCCCUUACAGGUGGGGCUACACACGUGCUACAAUGGCGGUGACAAAGGGAUAAUCCCUAAAAGCCGUCUCAGUUCGGAUUGUCCUCUGCAACUCGAGGGCAUGAAGUUGGAAUCGCUAGUAAUCGCGGAUCAGCACGCCGCGGUGAAUACGUUCCCGGGCCUUGUACACACCGCCCGUCACACCAUGGGAGUUGGUUCUACCUGAAGACGGUUUCCCAACCGCAAGGAGGGGACCGGCUACGGUAGGGUCAGCGACUGGGGUGAAGUCGUAACAAGGUA
rnacentral:rRNA from 1 species